ACGGAAGGCAGCAGUGGGGAAUAUUGCACAAUGGGCGAAAGCCUGAUGCAGCGACGCCGCGUGAGUGAAGAAGUAUCUCGGUAUGUAAAGCUCUAUCAGCAGGGAGGAAAAUGACGGUACCUGACUAAGAAGCCCCGGCUAACUACGUGCCAGCAGCCGCGGUAAUACGUAGGGGGCAAGCGUUAUCCGGAUUUACUGGGUGUAAAGGGAGCGUAGACGGUUUGGCAAGUCUGAAGUGAAAUGCGGGGGCUCAACUCCUGAACUGCUUUGGAAACUGUCGAACUAGAGUGCAGGAGAGGUAAGUGGAAUUCCUAGUGUAGCGGUGAAAUGCGUAGAUAUUAGGAGGAACACCAGUGGCGAAGGCGGCUUACUGGACUGUAACUGACGUUGAGGCUCGAAAGCGUGGGGAGCAAACAGGAUUAGAUACCCUGGUA
rnacentral:rRNA from 1 species